rnacentral:tRNA from 1 species
GUGGCUGUGGCUCAGCGGUAGAGCACUUGCCUUGCUCGUUCGAGACCCUGGGUUCAAUCCUCAGCACCACA